AAAAUCCAGUGUAAAGUGUUUAUUUUUAGAGAUAUACAAGCAGGUGAGCAUUAUGUUCAAUUUCCGCUUAGCCUGACUUUUUUUUUUUCCCAAGACAAGCCUCAUUCAAUACAGGUUCAUCGGGGAUUAUUGCACACUGAAAGAGUCAAAGGCGGGUGGGGGAAACGGCGUUCUUCUGUUAUCUGCCAAAGGAACAGGGUAGUUCCUGGCAUUAUCUGCCAUCUCCAAGAAAGCCACUCUGGAAAUGUUAGAACACUUCCAUUCUGCUCCCAGGAAAUUUUCUACUGAACAGGAGAAGUGAAGCAAAGAGUUCCAAAGGCAGGGAAGUGUCUUCAUAACAGGUAUAGCAAUCUGAUAGCUAUACCUCAGAGGAUCCAUAUGGCUUUCCCCCACUUUUCUAGCUUUAUUGAGAUAUUGUUGAAGUAGCACUGCACUGUAGCACUGUCGUCCCAUUGUUCAUCGAUUUGCUCGAGCGGGCACUAGUAAUGUCUACAUUGUGAGACUUCUUCUUACUGUUUUUGGCAUAUCGAAUACACCACAGGUAGCUUGCCAGGCUCUGCCGUGUGGACGGGAUACUCUCAGUAGCUUGCUGGGCUCUCCGAGAGGGACGGAGGAAUCAAACCUGGGUCGGAGGAAUCGAACCUGGGUCAGCCUCGUGCAAGGCAAACGCCCUACUAUUGUGCUAUUGCUCCAGUCCAUUGUUGAAAUCGCCCUAUGGUGUCUGCUCACUCCUGGAACACAAAGAGCCUCAAACCGUUGGUUCAGGGUCUUGACGAAGAAGUCUGACCAUCUCAUAGGUGGGCGGCCAGCAUUCUUUUGACAUCCCGUGGAAUCCAGUCCAGUUGGUAACAGCUCUAGUCCAGCGGUCGUCUCCAAGUCGCAUUACGUGUCUGGUCCGUCUGAUUUUCGACAACAGUGCCAGUGCAGUCCUAGAUGAAGAAAUGCUGAAAGGAUGAUACCAUCCGUACAGUACAUGAUCCUGUGCAAGUGAAUACCAAGCCAGCAGGUUCACGAGAAAACUAUUGGGCUUUUUCUGGAACAUAUUACGCUGCGUGGAUUUCUCCUGGCAUGUUGCCAACUCGCCUUCUUACACUUCUGUGGUGGGCGUUGCUCAAACGUCGUCAUUUAGCCAAGAAAAGAGCAUUUGCUUAAAGGAUAGAAAAUGUUUAAAAAAUUUUGUUUGUUUAAAAGCAGGUUAAGUCGAAAUAUGAUCUGAGGUAGGGCAAGAAAAGCACUAUUUCUGCAGUUUUUCUGAUGAGACCUUUAAGACUUUUUUUUUUUUUUUUUGCUUUUUUUUGGGUCACACCUGGCGAUGCACAGGGGUUACUCCUGGCUCUGCACUCAGGAAUCACCCCUGGCCAUGCUCAGGGGACCAUAUGGGAUGCUGGGAUUCGAACCCGGGUCGGCCGCGUGCAAGGCAAACGCCCUACCCGCUGUGCUAUCGCUCCAGCCCCUUUAAGACUUUAUUGAAGCAGUUUUUCUGAUUAGACUUUUUUGUUUUGUUUUAAAGAGAUUCAGUUUUCUCUCAAAUAAUUAUACAUGAAUAGUGUCUUCUAGAAAAUAUCUUUCAGUGGCUAUUUUUCUUUGAUCUGAUUGGCUGUUUUUCAAAACUGAGUUUGACUUAGAGAUUUCUCACAUAUUUGUGUAUAUCAAGCUAAGAAAAGCUGGAGGUUCGGACAACAGCCUAAAAUAGAAUUUCUUUUUUUCACUUUCAGUUCCAGAACUAUGCCAUAAAAAUGAAGAAGGAAGGCAUGAACAUGUAUUUAAAUUAGAGCAGAUAAUACUUUUAAAGUAUUGCAAAUUUGAUUAUAAAUUUAAAGCUCAAAUGUUGAUACAAAAGAUAUAAUGCAUAAAUAUCUCCCUGUCAUUUUUCUAAUAGUAAAAUUGGAUCCCAAAUCCCUUCUCUUUAACAAGGUUUUCAUAUUUUGUGUGAUACCCAGUAAGGAUAUGGACUCACUUCAAGUCUAGAAAGAACAAAUGCCAAGCUUCUGUAUCGUCAUCUGUAUAGUAAGAAUAAUAAUACCUAUUAAAGAGAGGUGGGGAUUAAAGAUGUCUCCAAAGAGACUCAGCAAUGCUUAGCAUGUUUCAAAGAUUGAAAAAAAAUUAAUUGUCUUCCUUAAUCCAUUGCACAAUAGAUGUCAGCCUGGAGGUUAAAAUAGGCAAAACUGAUUUAAAGUGGGAUUGUGUUGUUUAGUGAUAGGCUAUUUUUCUGGGUGCUUCAAUCUAUUCUUGGACUUUAAAUACACCACUUUCUAUAACAUGCUUUAAAUAAAAUGAAUCUGCUUUUGUUUUGAGGAA